CGGGGGCGCACCGGACACCAC
rnacentral:siRNA from 1 species